GUGGGGAAUAUUGGACAAUGGGCGAAAGCCUGAUCCAGCCAUGCCGCGUGUGUGAAGAAGGUCUUCGGAUUGUAAAGCACUUUAAGUUGGGAGGAAGAGUAGUAACCUAAUACGUUGCUACUUUGACGUUACCGACAGAAUAAGCACCGGCUAACUUCGUGCCAGCAGCCGCGGUAAUACGAAGGGUGCAAGCGUUAAUCGGAAUUACUGGGCGUAAAGCGCGCGUAGGUGGUUCAGUAAGUUGGAAGUGAAAUCCCCGGGCUCAACCUGGGAACUGCUUUCAAAACUGCUGAGCUAGAGUACGGUAGAGGGUGGUGGAAUUUCCUGUGUAGCGGUGAAAUGCGUAGAUAUAGGAAGGAACACCAGUGGCGAAGGCGACCACCUGGACUGAUACUGACACUGAGGUGCGAAAGCGUGGGGAGCAAACAGGAUUAGAAACCCGUGUAGUCC
rnacentral:rRNA from 1 species